AGAGUUUGAUCAUGGCUCAGGAUGAACCCUAGCGGCAGGCUUAACACAUGCAAGUCGAGGGGUAUAGUUCUUCGGAACUUGAGACCGGCGCACGGGUGCGUAACGCGUAUGCAAUCUACCUUUCACAGAGGGAUAGCCCAGAGAAAUUUGGAUUAAUGCCUCAUAGUGUAAUGAGUUGGCAUGGACACAUUAUUAAAGUCACAACGGUGAAAGAUGAGCAUGCGUCCCAUUAGCUAGAUGGUAAGGUAACGGCUUACCAUGGCAACGAUGGGUAGGGGUCCUGAGAGGGAGAUCCCCCACACUGGUACUGAGACACGGACCAGACUCCUACGGGAGGCAGCAGUGAGGAAUAUUGGACAAUGGGCGCAAGCCUGAACCAGCCAUGCCGCGUGCAGGAAGACGCGUCCUAUGGAUUGUAAACUGCUUUUAUACCGGAAGAAACCCUCCCACGUGUGGGAGCUUGACGGUACUGUAGGAAUACUUCUCGGCUAAACUCCGCU
rnacentral:rRNA from 1 species